rnacentral:lncRNA from 1 species
UAUGUCGGAAUUCAAAUCCACUUCUAAGAGCAAAAUUUAAUAACAUGCAACUAAAGCUUUCAAGUUUUUUUAAAAACCCAAUCAAUAAUGAUCCUAUGUGCUCAAUGCAUGUCAAUUCACAAAAAUUAAUCCUUAAACAUGGAAAUCAUUUUAUGUUUGCAUGUAUACUUGAAAUAACCACACACUGAAUAAGCAUUUUCACAAUUAAUGCUGCUUAUAACAGUUUUUAAUGUAUAAAACAACGAUUAUCACAGUAGUCACGGAAUCCUUUAAACACAUCCGUAAUAACAAAACGUUUAAUACAAAGUAAGGAAAAAACCCUAAUCCCAGCAGAGAGACAGAGCGCGCAAAACCCUAAUUGUCGCACAUAGCCACCACAAUUCUAACCGCAACACAACGGCAGAGAUUGAAACCGUAAUAGGAGCACAUUGCGAGAGCAAAAUCCUAAUCUCAGCACUAAAGGAGCGAGAGAGAGAGAGCGCGAAACCCUAAUUGCAAGUCAAAGAGAGUGAGAGCCAGUAAAACCCUAAUUUCCGCACAGAUGGAGCAAAGUUCUAAUCGCAUCAUAAAAAUGAGAAAAAUCCUGAUCAAAGCUCAACGAACGAGCGAGCCCUAAUUCUUGACUGAAGAGAGACAAAAUAUUUGAACGAAUGCCUACAAUUUGCAAAUCCUACUUCACCGGGCGGAUGUGGUGGUGUGAGAAUGGUGCUAUGUUUUCACCUAGAAGAGAUCAGUGAGUCUUUGUCUUCUUCU